rnacentral:rRNA from 1 species
UGCAGUCGUACGCACAGCAAUGUGAGUGGCGCAAGGGUGAGUAAUGCGAAGGUAACCAACCCUGGAGUUGGGCAUAGCCGCGGGAAACUGCGGGUAAUUCCCAGCGAUGUUACGAGGUGGCAUCAUCUUGUAACCAAAGGUGUGAUUCCGCUCUGGGACGGGCCUUCGUGGUAUUAGCUAGUUGGUAAGGUAACGGCUUACCAAGGCUACGAUGCCUACCGGGUGUGAGAGCAUGACCCGGCACACUGGAACUGAGACACUGUCCAGACACCUACGGGUGGCUGCAGUCGAGAAUCUUCGGCAAUGGGCGAAAGCCUGACCGAGCGACGCCGCGUGAGGGAUGAAGGCCUUCGGGUUGUAAACCUCUUUCGUAGAGGAGGAAGGGGCUGUGAAGAGCAGUCCUUGACCUAUUCGAGGAAGAAGCUUGGGCUAAGUUCGUGCCAGCAGCCGCGGUAAGGCGAACCAAGCGAACGUUAUUCGGAAUUACUGGGCUUAAAGCGCGUGUAGGCGGAUGGCCACGUCGGUUGUUGAAAUCCCCCGGCUUAACCGGGGAACAGGCACCGAUACGAGUUAUCUGGAGGUGGGUAGGGGAGACUGGAACUUCCGGUGGAGCGGUGAAAUGCGUUGAGAUCGGAAGGAACGCCUGCGGCGAAAGCGAGUCUCUGGCCCCAUACUGACGCUGAGACGCGAAAGCCAGGGG